rnacentral:misc_RNA from 1 species
AGCAGCCGCGGUAAUUCCAGCUCCAAUAGCGUAUAUUAAAGUUGCUGCAGUUAAAAAGCUCGUAGUUGAAUUUCGGGAUCAUCAUGUCGGUCGUGCCUCGGUACGUACUGGCAUUGUUGGUUUCUACCUUCUGACGAACCAUGAUGUCAUUUAUUUGGUGUCGUGGGAAAUCAGGACUGUUACUUUGAAAAAUUAGAGUGUUUAAAGCAGGCUCACGCUUGAAUACAUUAGCAUGGAAUAAUGAAAUAGGACGUUUGAUUCUAUUUUGUUGGUUUCUAGGAUCGACGUAAUGAUUAAUAGGGAUAGUUGGGGGCAUUAGUAUUCAAUUGUCAGAGGUGAAAUUCUUGGAUUUAUUGAAGACUAACUACUGCGAAAGCAUUUGCCAAGGAUGUUUUCAUUAAUCAAGAACGAAAGUUAGGGGAUCGAAGACGAUCAUAUACCGUCGUAGUCUUAACCAUAAACUAUGCCGACUAGGGAUCGGAUGAUGUUAAUUUUUAAUGACUCAUUC